rnacentral:SRP_RNA from 1 species
GCUGGGCGCGGUGGCGGGCGCCUGUAGUCCCAGCUACUCGGGAGGCUGAGGCAGGAGAAUGGCGUGAACCCAGGAGGUGGAGCUUGCAGUGAGCCAAGAUUGUGCCACUGCACUCCAGCCUGGGUGACAGAGCAAGACUCUGUCUCAA